rnacentral:lncRNA from 1 species
AUUGGGAAAGGACUUCAAGGGGAGAAGAACUGCUGAGUUCUUACUAACCAAGGGCAUGCCAAUGUCACUGCCAGAGUGCAAAGGACCUGGAGGAGGGAGCUACUGAUCUCUUAGAGGUCACUGAGCUACUCUCCGCUAAAGUUGCUCUCUGGGAAGAAGGAGAGAGGAGCUGUGUGCGUGCAGCCCCUGCUUCAUAGCCACCCGGCUGCCUUCCUAGAAGAGGCUUGUGGGGUUCACAGCACCUGCUCCCUUGCAACCCAGGGCUUCAUCUGCAUAGAUGGGACCCAGGGACAGCAUGUCUGUCCAUAGCUGGUGCUGCAUGGAGCUCCCCUCUCUCUUUUUCUGCCCACACAGGAUUAUGUAUGAGGCAGAGAUGGGCUCUCAGUGCUGCUGUGAGAUUUGAGCACCUGCUGGGUACAGAACUGAUAGUGGGCGAUGGCUGGUGGCAGACAAGGGACCUGGGGACACAGAACGUGUCUGUGUUAAUUUGGGAGAGCCUUCUGGCCUUGCUUUCAUUAGCCUGGGCAGUCCAGAAGAGAAAGAAACACAUUUUUAAAGGAAAAACAGAUUUAGAGAACAUUUACAGUAAAAACUGUCUGGAAAAUGAA